UACAGAGGGGGCAAGCGUUGUUCGGAAUUACUGGGCGUAAAGGGCGCGUAGGCGGCCUUCUAAGUCAAAGGUGAAAUCCCCGGGCUCAACCCGGGAACUGCGUCCGAUACUGGGAGGCUUGAAUCCGGGAGAGGGAUGUGGAAUUCCAGGUGUAGCGGUGAAAUGCGUAGAUAUCUGGAGGAACACCGGUGGCGAAGGCGGCAUCCUGGACCGGUAUUGACGCUGAGGCGCGAAAGCCAGGGGAGCAAACGGG
rnacentral:rRNA from 1 species